rnacentral:tRNA from 1 species
GCCUGAAUGGCUCAGUUGGUUAAGCACCUGACUUCAGCUCAGGUCAUGAUCUCAAGGUUCAUGAGUUCGAGCCCCACGUUGGGCU